rnacentral:rRNA from 1 species
GACGAACGCUGGCGGCGUGCCUAAUACAUGCCAGUAGAACGCUGAAGAGAGGAGCUUGCUCUUCUUGGAUGAGUUGCGAACGGGUGAGUAACGCGUAGGUAACCUGCCUUGUAGCGGGGGAUAACUAUUGGAAACGAUAGCUAAUACCGCAUAACAAUGGAUGACACAUGUCAUUUAUUUGAAAGGGGCAAUUGCUCCACUACAAGAUGGACCUGCGUUGUAUUAGCUAGUAGGUGAGGUAAUGGCUCACCUAGGCGACGAUACAUAGCCGACCUGAGAGGGUGAUCGGCCACACUGGGACUGAGACACGGCCCAGACCCCUACGGGAGGCAGCAGUAGGGAAUCUUCGGCAAUGGGGGCAACCCUGACCGAGCAACGCCGCGUGAGUGAAGAAGGGUUUCGGAUCGUAAAGCUCUGUUGUAAGUCAAGAACGGGUGUGAGAGUGGAAAGUUCACACUGUGACGGUAGCUUACCAGAAAGGGACGGCUAACUACGUG